rnacentral:rRNA from 1 species
GAUGAACGCUGGCGGCGUGCCUAAUACAUGCAAGUCGAGCGAACAGACGAGGAGCUUGCUCCUCUGACGUUAUCGGCGGACGGGUGAGUAACACGUGGAUAACCUACCUAUAAGACUGGGAUAACUUCGGGAAACCGGAGCUAAUACCGGAUAAUAUAUUGAACCGCAUGGUUCCCUAGUUAAAGAAGGUUUUGCUGUCACUUAAAGAUGGAUCCGCGCCCCAUUCGCUAGUUGGUAAGGUGACUGCUUAGCAAGGCAACGAUGCGUACCCGACCUGAGAGGGUGAUCCGACACACUGUCACUGAGACACGUCCCAGACUCCUACGGGAGGCAGCAGUAGGGAAUCUUCCGCGAUGGGCGAAAGCUUGACGGAGCAACGCCGCGUGAGUGAUGAUGGUCUUCUGCUCGGAAAACUCUGUUAGUCGGGAAGUUCAAAAGUGUAAGUACCUAUGCACGUCUUGACGGUACCUAAUCAGAAAGCUACGGCUAACUCCGUG